rnacentral:rRNA from 2 species
CUCCUUUACUUUUAAAGGUAUUCUCUGCUCCAUGAAAAAAAAUUUUUUUAAAUAGCCGCAGUACUCUGACUGUGCUAAGGUAGCAUAAUAAUUUGCUUCUUAAUUAGAAGCUGGUAUAAAUGAGAACCCGACGUUUUUGCUUUUCUGGAAAUUAUAAUAAAAAUUAUUAUUUGUUUCAGAAAAAACAACUCCCCAAGUAGACGAUAAGACCCCGUGAAACUUUAUUUUUACUCUGCCGCUUGAUUUUAGGCUUUUUCUUCUAAGAGGUAUGAAAAAAAAUUAAACUGGGGCGGUAUUAAAAAGACUUUUAUAAAUAUAAACAAUAUUCUUGAGUAAACAGAUCUUAUUUAUUAACAAAUAAAACAAGUUACUCCGGGGAUAACAGCACAAUUUUUUAGUAUAGAUCAGAUAGAUAAAAAAGACUUGUGACCUCGAUGUUGAAUUGGAGUGCCUAAAUUGAGCAGAAAAAAUUUUAGGGGGUCUGUUCGACCUUUAAUUCUCC